UACGUAGGGCGCAAGCGUUAUCCGGAAUUAUUGGGCGUAAAGAGCUCGUAGGCGGUUUGUCGCGUCUGCCGUGAAAGUCCAGGGCUCAACCCUGGAAAGCCGGUGGAUACUGUCGGACUAGAGUGCGGAAGAGGCGAGUGGAAUUCCCGGUGUAGCGGUGAAAUGCGCAGAUAUCGGGAGGAACACCAAUGGCGAAGGCAGCUCGCUGGGACGGUACUGACGCUGAGGCGCGAAAGCGUGGGGAGCAAACAGG
rnacentral:rRNA from 1 species